GCCCCGGUAGCUUAGUGGUUAUAGCAGCGGCCUCGUAAGCCGCGGGUCGCGGGUUCAAAUCCCGCCCGGGGCUCCA
rnacentral:tRNA from 1 species